CCAAUCAGAUGUCAUCCUACUAUCAGUGCAGAACUGUUGCUCACGUCAAUGACGGCAAUGGAACCUGUUUAUUGACCGUCACCACCAAUACUGCCCGCCACUAUCGCAAUAUCAGUACUACUGCAGCCGAGUGCUAACACACUACUUCUACCGCGCCGCUAACACACUACUGCUGGUACUCGUACCUAGUAUAUACCCGCUACAAAUAUGAUUCCUGAAAAACUACACAGUGGAAGCCAUUAAUUAUAGGAUUACAAAAUUCAAUUAGCAUUACAGAGCCGUUUCAGUGACCAUAUACAAUUAGUGUAACCGGAAACCCCGUCCACACAAGUGCUUUUAACAACUCGACAACAUCAGCAUGUCUCGGAGGCCACCUCAUCAGAACACCCGUCAUCAGUACGCCCCUAGAUUGAGAGCGAGGGCGUGCAUGGGCGUGGUGGCGGUGGUGCUACUAGUGUGUGUAACUUGCCCCAGCAGCGCCACCUUCACUGUCUACUGGAAUUCCCCUACACAGACCUGCCACCAGUUCGGAGUUCAUAUUAAUGUAUCAGCGUUUGGCAUCGUGCAGAAUACAGGCGACCUCUUCUAUGGUGACAAGGUCAGCAUAUUCUACGGUCCUGGGGCGUUCCCGUACCUCAAGGACGACCAACCAGUGAACGGCGGAAUCCCUCAGAACGGCAGCCUCCAAGACCACCUUCACGCCUUUACCAGCAGAGUACAACAACAGCUGCCAACUGACUUCUCCGGAGUAGCGGUGCUGGACUUCGAGGCUUAUUACCCCAGCAGCGAUGAGCCCCCCGCCGUACCAUGAAGCUUCAAGGGCCUGGGUCGCCGCCCACUACCCGCACUUGCCGCCCUCAAAGGUCUUCUUCUUGGCGGAGCAGACCUUUAACGAAUCAGCCAGAGAGUUCUUCGAGACGCUGCUGUGGGUGGGUCGGGAACUACGGCCCAAAGCGCUGUGGGGAUACUACCACUACCCCUACUGUCAUAACUACGGGCCAGGUGUAGCCGACUGUAAGCCUUGGGUAAUGGAACACAACAAUGAUAUGUCCUGGCUGGUGGAGCUGAGUACGGCCCUCUAUCCUAGUAUCUACAUCUUCAAGAACAGUGGUUAACCCGUAGCCGCCGUCUUAACACCCGCGGUAGACUCCUCGAGGCAAUCCGCAUGUGCACCGUACUGGCCAAACCAUGCCCAUCCUCCCUUAUUUCUGGUACAGGUAUCACGACUCUGCCAGCUUCCUCUCCCCUCUGGACACUGUCAACACGAUGGGCUUCACCAAGAUGCUCGGGCUGGAAGGGGCGGUGGUGUGGGGGUCAACGAGUGACGUGGCAACCAAGUCUGAGUGCCUCAUUCUCAAGCGGUACGUGGAGGAGCAUAGGGGCCCUUGGUGAGGUAUCUGGACCACCUCCCCAGAGCCACCCUCCGCUUCGUCAUCAACUCCCGCAGACUCCUCAAGAGGUUGGCCAAUAAGGCUCUCAGGGCAGCCAAGUACCCACCAUCAUUCACAACUUCUAGUGCCUGAGAGAACACCUCUUGUUCCCCUCUUCCCUAGCUGAGAGAGAGAGGCUGGCUGUGGUUGACUGUCACUUAUUGUUACCGUUCGUAGUACACUGACUGCUUGACAGAACUGUAUACUGUGAAUCAAGAUUAACUGGGCUCCUAGCAAUGAUCCAGUUACGAUAGAUAGUCAUAAUUAAACUGUCAUGUCAGUACUAAAACAGCUAAGACUGGUUAUCAUAAUUAAACUGUUAGAUUAAAAUAAACAGUCAAUAUUAAUCAUACGGCCCAGUGCUACAGAAAUUAAGAGUGACUGUCAGGAAUAACUGUCUGGUGCUCGGAUUAACGAUACAGUCAAUGCACCAGUCAAGAGAUUAUAGCACACACAGACUGUUGAGGGAGGAGUAACUGUCUUUUCUAUUUGUGACUGUCAAUUAGAAUUUCAGUGGUUAAAAUUAUCACAAUUAAACUGUGGAGUAACUGUGUACAAUCAAUGAUACAGUCACAGAGUUAAAGACUGGCAGUCAUUUUUAACUGUAUAUACCUCGCUACAAGUCACUACAACACAUCUUAAGUCACUACAACACACCUUAAGUCACUACAACACACCUUAAGUCACUAUAACAUACCUUAAGUCACUACAAAAACCUAGUCACCUGUAGAUUAGACACCCCAGCUUAUUUUACCUGUUGAUUAAAAACACCUUAACUCUACCUGGGGUUAUGGGAUCAGGUUAGGUUAGGUGUUGUAGUAAGCUGGGGUGUCUAAUCUUCAGGUAACCCUAAUAGCUUGUGGUCUGGGGUGUCUAAUCUUCAGGUAACCCUAAGAAACUAGCUUGUGGUCUGAGGUGUUUAAUCUUCAGGUAACCUCAAGAAACUAGCUAGUGGUAUUAUGCAUUGCUUUUAUACAAUUUAAUGAAAGGUCAAUCCAACUAUGUGCCAAAACCCAACUUUAAUAAAUUAGCAUGAUAUUAUGCCUGUGUUUAAUUUAUUUGCUUGGAAUAAAAACAAAUUAAGCAG
rnacentral:lncRNA from 1 species